rnacentral:tRNA from 3 species
UGGCCCAAUGGCUCAGUUGGUUAGAGCGCCGCCCUGUCACGGCGGAGGUCGCGGGUUCGAGUCCCGCUUGGGUCGU